rnacentral:rRNA from 1 species
UACGUAGGGUGCGAGCGUUGUCCGGAAUUAUUGGGCGUAAAGAGCUCGUAGGCGGUGUGUCACGUCGGUCGUGAAAACUUGGGGCUUAACCUCGAGAUGUCAUCGGAAACCAUCUGGCUAGAGUCCGGAAGAGGAGAGUGGAAUUCCUGGUGUAGCGGUGAAAUGCGCAGAUAUCAGGAAGAACACCAAUGGCGAAAGCAGCUCUCUGGGACGGUACUGACGCUGAGACGCGAAAGCGUGGGGAGCGAACAGG